rnacentral:rRNA from 1 species
CCUACGGGUGACAGCAGUGAGGAAUAUUGGUCAAUGGGCGCGAGCCUGAACCAGCCAAGUAGCGUGAAGGAUGACUGCCCUACGGGUUGUAAACUUCUUUUAUAAAGGAAUAAAGUGAGGCACGUGUGCCUUUAUGUAUGUACUUUAUGAAUAAGGAUCGGCUAACUCCGUGCCAGCAGCCGCGGUAAUACGGAGGGUCCGAGCGUUAUCCGGGUUUAUUGGGUUUAAAGGGAGCGUAGAUGGGUUGUUAAGUCAGUUGUGAAAGUUUGCGGCUCAACCGUAAAAUUGCAAUUGAUACUGGCAGUCUUGAGUACAGUUGAGGUAGGCGGAAUUCGUGGUGUAGCGGUGAAAUGCUUAGAUAUCACGAAGAACUCCGAUUGCGAAGGCAGCUUACUAAACUGCCACUGACAUUGAUGCUCGAAAGUGUGGGUAUCAAACAGGAUUAGAUACCCCGGUAGUC